rnacentral:rRNA from 1 species
GAGCUCGUAGGCGGUUUGUCGCGUCUGCUGUGAAAUCUGGGGGCUCAACCCCCAGCCUGCAGUGGGUACGGGCAGACUAGAGUGCGGUAGGGGAGAUUGGAAUUCCUGGUGUAGCGGUGGAAUGCGCAGAUAUCAGGAGGAACACCGAUGGCGAAGGCAGAUCUCUGGGCCGUAACUGACGCUGAGGAGCGAAAGCAUGGGGAGCGAACAGGAUUAGAUACCCUGGUAGUCCAUGCCGUAAACGUUGGGAACUAGAUGUGGGGGCCAUUCCACGGUCUCCGUGUCGCAGCUAACGCAUUAAGUUCCCCGCCUGGGGAGUACGGCCGCAAGGCUAAAACUCAAAGGAAUUGACGGGGGCCCGCACAAGCGGCGGAGCAUGCGGAUUAAUUCGAUGCAACGCGAAGAACCUUACCAAGGCUUGACAUAUACCGGAAACGUCCAGAGAUGGUCGCCCCGCAAGGUCGGUAUACAGGUGGUGCAUGGUUGUCGUCAGCUCGUGUCGUGAGAUGUUGGGUUAAGUCCCGCAACGAGCGCAACCCUCGUUCUAUGUUGCCAGCACGUUAUGGUGGGAACUCAUAGGAGACUGCCGGGGUCAACUCGGAGGAAGGUGGGGAUGACGUCAAAUCAUCAUGCCCCUUAUGUCUUGGGCUUCACGCAUGCUACAAUGGCCGGUACAAAGGGCUGCGAUACCGUAAGGUGGAGCGAAUCCCAAAAAGCCGGUCUCAGUUCGGAUUGAGGUCUGCAACUCGACCUCAUGAAGUCGGAGUCGCUAGUAAUCGCAGAUCAGCAACGCUGCGGUGAAUACGUUCCCGGGCCUUGUACACACCGCCCGUCAAGUCAUGAAAGUCGGUAACACCCGAAGCCAGUGGCCUAACCCUUGUGGAUGGAGCUGUCGAAGGUGGGAUCGGUGAUUAGGACGAAGUC